UACGUAGGGUGCAAGCGUUGUCCGGAAUUAUUGGGCGUAAAGAGCUCGUAGGCGGUUUGUCGCGUCUGCUGUGAAAACUCGGGGCUUAACUCCGGGCCUGCAGUGGGUACGGGCAGACUAGAGUGCGGUAGGGGAGACUGGAAUUCCUGGUGUAGCGGUGAAAUGCGUAGAUAUCUGGAGGAACACCGGUGGCGAAGGCGGCAUUCUGGACCGAUAUUGACGCUGAGGAGCGAAAGCCAGGGGAGCAAACGGG
rnacentral:rRNA from 1 species